CAGUCGUACUGGCGGGAAAUCAACCUCUCGAGUGCUUGUCGUAGGUGACGUUGAGCUUCACGGCCUUCGUUGCUUAUGUUAUGGUGCUUUUGGGGUGUACUUUUCCGUAUGGUAGGUCAACAUCGAUUUUGAUCGUCAUAAAAUGAUCGGGGGAAUGUGGCUCUGAUUUCGUAUUGGAGUGUUAUAGCCUUUGGUAGAUGUGACGAUUGGGAUCGAGGAUUGCAACGAAUACCCUUUGGGCUAUCCGUCUGACCUCUGAAAGUCGCUUGGGUGUUGAAAGCGUGCUUAUAACAUUCAAGUUGGCGGUCAAAAGGUUAGAACGCGAUUACAUUCGUUAAGGAUGUUGACGUA
rnacentral:rRNA from 1 species